rnacentral:rRNA from 1 species
GAUGAACGCUGGCGGCGUGCCUAAUACAUGCAAGUCGAGCGAACAGACGAGGAGCUUGCUCCUCUGACGUUAGCGGCGGACGGGUGAGUAACACGUGGAUAACCUACCUAUAAGACUGGGAUAACUUCGGGAAACCGGAGCUAAUACCGGAUAAUAUAUUGAACCGCAUGGUUCAAUAGUGAAAGACGGUUUUGCUGUCACUUAUAGAUGGAUCCGCGCCGCAUUAGCUAGUUGGUAAGGUAACGGCUUACCAAGGCAACGAUGCGUAGCCGACCUGAGAGGGUGAUCGGCCACACGGGACCUGAGACACGGCCCAGACUCCGACGGGAGGCAGCAGUAGGGAAUCUUCCGCAAGGGGCGAAAGCUUGACGGAGCAACGCCGGGUGAGUGAUGAAGGUUUUCGGAUCGUAAACCCCUUUUAUUAGGGAAAAACAAAUGUGUAAGUAACUAUGCACGUCUUGACGGUACCAAACCAGAAAGCCCCGGCUAACUACGU